AGAGCUCACAAGCACCAUAGUGAUCAGUCUGAAGGGAUUAUUAGUGCCAGCCAGCCAGUCUGCUGUGUAGUCAGUGCUCUUUCUUUGUAGCCAGAGAUGUAGGACUUGGGAGGCUCCUGAGAACAGCAUCACUCUAUUUGCAAGUUUGGUUGUAAUGUCUGAGACUUGCUUCAGGAAUUGUAAUGUCAAAAUAUAAUACAUCCUUUCCCAGGAACCAUCACUGACAUAAAAUAGCAGGUUGAGCAGGUUGGCAAUGUAGUAUUUGUGGGAAAUUGAGGAAAGAAUGGUUAACUGUCCACUGGAGGUUGAGAAAGUCUCAAAGAAGUGAGAAUUGAAUUGAGUUGCAGGGAGGCGAGAAUUGAGUUGUAGGGAGGCAGGCAUAGGAAUGUGCCUUCUAGGUACUAGGAUCAGGCAACAAAGGCAUAUUCAAGACUGUCUAGUCCUCUGCCACACCUUGCCUCCACUAACUUUCCCUGAAGGGGCGCUGUCUGCUACUGUCGCGGACACAAAGGCUGACUAUGGCUUGGAAACUUGAGUACAGAGACAAGAGCGCUUUUCUGUACACAGCUAGGUUUCUGCUUGCUACCCAACUUUAAUAUAUUAUUUAAAGAUACAUACAUGUUCUAUAAAGACAAAUGACAUAAAAGUCAGGAUAAUGGCUACUUCUGGGCAGAGGAAGGGGAAUUAUCUUUGGUAAGAAGCACAUGGCCACACAGGUUGUCCACUGCACAACUCUAGGAGAGGCCGUGCACAGAGACCCUGGCUCCUUGAGUACUCGAGAAAAUCCAAGUGUGGGGUCCAUAGGCAUUCAUAUUUUUUCUACAGAAUAACGUGUAUUUUAUAUAGAUUUAUGAAUAUCUGAUUGCAUCAGGAAUUGGCACA
rnacentral:lncRNA from 1 species